rnacentral:rRNA from 1 species
GGCGUAAAGAGCUCGUAGGUGGUUAGUCGCGUUGUUCGUGAAAUCUCACGGCUUAACUGUGAGCGUGCGGGCGAUACGGGCAGACUUGAGUACUGCAGGGGAGACUGGAAUUCCUGGUGUAGCGGUGGAAUGCGCAGAUAUCAGGAGGAACACCGGUGGCGAAGGCGGGUCUCUGGGCAGUAACUGACGCUGAGGAGCGAAAGCGUGGGGAGCGAACAGGAUUAGAUACCCUGGUAGUCCACGCCGUAAACGGUGGGUACUAGGUGUGGGUUUCCUUCCUUGGGAUCCGUGCCGUAGCUAACGCAUUAAGUACCCCGCCUGGGGAGUACGGCCGCAAGGCUAAAACUCACAGAAAUUGACGGGGGCCCGAACAAGCGGCGGAGCAUGUGGAUUAAUUCGAUGCAACGCGAAGAACCUUACCUGGGUUUGACAUGCACAGGACGCCGGCAGAGAUGUCGGUUCCCUUGUGGCCUAUGUGCAGGUGGUGCAUGGCUGUCGUCAGCUCGUGUCGUGAGAUGUUGGGUUAAGUCCCGCAACGAGCGCAACCCUUGUCUCAUGUUGCCAGCGGGUAAUGCCGGGGACUCGUGAGAGACUGCCGGGGUCAACUCGGAGGAAGGUGGGGAUGACGUCAAAUCAUCAUGCCCCUUAUGUCCAGGGCUUCACACAUGCUACAAUGGCCGGUACAAAGGGCUGCGAUGCCGCGAGGUUAAGCGAAUCCUUUUAAAGCCGGUCUCAGUUCGGAUCGGGGUCUGCAACUCGACCCCGUGAAGUCGGAGUCG